GAUGAACGCUGGCGGCGUGCCUAAUACAUGCAAGUCGAGCGAACAGACGAGGAGCUUUCUCCUCUGACGUUAGCGGCGGACGGGUGAGUAACACGUGGAUAACCUACCUAUAAGACUGGGAUAACUUCGGGAAACCGGAGCUAAUACCGGAUAAUAUAUUGAACCGCAUGGUUCAAUAGUGAAAGACGGUUUUGCUGUCACUUAUAGAUGGAUCCGCGCCGCAUUAGCUAGUUGGUAAGGUAACGGCUUACCAAGGCAACGAUGCGUAGCCGACCUGAGAGGGUGAACCGCCACACUGGAACUGAGACACGGUACAGACUCCUACGGGAGGCAGCAGUAGGGAAUCUUCCGCAAAGGGCGAAAGCCUGACGGAGCAACGCCGCGUGAGUGAUGAAGGUCUUCUGAUCGUAAAACUCUGUUAUUAGGGAAGAACAAAUGUGUAAGUAACUAUGCACGUCUUGACGGUACCUAAUCAGAAAGCCACGGCUAACUACGUG
rnacentral:rRNA from 1 species